AAAUCCUUACCAAUAAGGUGGGAGGAGUUCAGGUAGGCAACCAACUAAGUUACUAAGAUUUUUCGUCGAUAUGUAAAGUGUGAAGAGGUAGAAUGUAUGCAAAUCACGACAAAUAAAUCAAUUAUUUAUUAAUGAUCAUAAUUAAUUAUCCAUGCUUUAGUCUCAGUUAAUUAGAUCUAGGGAAAUAUAUAUACCCUCUCAGAGGGUUAAACGCUUGAUUGACCAUUUUAAGGCCCAAAC
rnacentral:lncRNA from 1 species